AACGAACGCUGGCGGCAUGCCUAACACAUGCAAGUCGAACGAGACCUUCGGGUCUAGUGGCGCACGGGUGCGUAACGCGUGGGAACCUGCCCUUAGGUUCGGAAUAACUCCCCGAAAGGGGUGCUAAUACCGGAUAAUGUCUUCGGACCAAAGAUUGAUCGCCUUUGGAUGGGCCCGCGUUGGAGUAGCUAGUUGGUAGGGUAAAAGCCUGCCAAGGCGACGAUCCAUAGCUGGUCUGAGAGGAUGAUCAGCCACACUGGGACUGACACACGGCCCAGACCCCACCGGGAGGCAGCGGGGGGGAAUAUUGAAGGAGGGCGAAAGCCCGUAUCGACCAUUUACGCGUGAGAGCAGCGCGCCUGAGGGUUGUACAGCUCUUUUCCCCGGGAUGAUAACGACAGUACCGGAAAAAUAUCCUCCGGCUACCCCCGUC
rnacentral:rRNA from 1 species